rfam:Caenorhabditis brenneri strain PB2801 C_brenneri-6.0.1_Cont21.21, whole genome shotgun sequence.
AGCUGGUUUUUCCUUGGGUAAUGAGUCCAAAAAUAGCGUUCAUUACUGGGGGUAAAUCAGCUCU